AACGAACGCUGGCGGCGUGGAUUAGGCAUGCAAGUCGAGCGAGAAAGAGGGUUCGCCCCUUGAGUAAAGCGGCAAACUGGUGAGUAACAGGUGGGUAAUGUGCCCUAGAGUGGGGGAUAACUACCGGGAAACCGGAGCUAAUACCGCAUGUGGCCGUGAGGUCUUCGGACUCCACGGUUAAAGACUUCGGUCGCUCUGGGAU
rnacentral:rRNA from 1 species